UACGAAGGGUGCAAGCGUUACUCGGAAUUACUGGGCGUAAAGCGUGCGUAGGUGGUUCGUUAAGUCUGAUGUGAAAGCCCUGGGCUCAACCUGGGAAUUGCAUUGGAUACUGGCGAGCUAGAGUGCGGUAGAGGAUGGCGGAAUUCCCGGUGUAGCAGUGAAAUGCGUAGAGAUCGGAAAGAACACCAACGGCGAAGGCACUCUGCUGGGCCGACACUGACACUGAGAGACGAAAGCUAGGGGAGCAAAUGGG
rnacentral:rRNA from 1 species